AAGGCCCACUUGAAGGCAAUGAAGCUCCAGACGCAGGACAGAGACUUUGAGUGUGACACUUCAGGAUCUGCAGGCAAUGGGCAUGACAGAAUCAGCCCUCACUCU